rnacentral:tRNA from 1 species
GCGAUCGUAGCCAAGGUGCUUCAGCUAUCCAACGCGCCUAUCAACGGCGCGGGCCGAGGCCGCGGUAAGGCAACGGGGGCGCAGCCCGACAGCGUAGGUUCGACUCCUGCCGAUCGCACCA